GACGAACGCUGGCGGCGCGCUUCACACAUGCAAGUCGAACGUGAAGCCCGGGCUUGCCCGGGUGGAAAGUGGCGAACGGGUGAGUAACACGUGAGCAACCUGCCCCGAAGACCGGGAUAACACCGGGAAACCGGUGCUAAUACCGGAUGCCCUCGCCGGACCGCAUGAUCCGGCGAGGAAAGCUCCGGCGCUUCGGGAUGGGCUCGCGGCCUAUCAGCUUGUUGGUGGGGCCAAGGCCCACCAAGGCGACGACGGGUAGCUGGUCUGAGAGGAUGUCCAGCCACACUGGGACUGAGACACGGCCCAGACUCCUACGGGAGGCAGCAGUGGGGAAUUUUGGACAAUGGGGGCAACCCUGAUCCAGCAAUGCCGCGUGUGUGAAGAAGGCCUUCGGGUUGUAAAGCACUUUUGUCCGGAAAGAAAUCCGCUGGGUUAAUACCCCGGCGGGAUGACGGUACCGGAAGAAUAAGCACCGGCUAACUAC
rnacentral:rRNA from 1 species